AUACGUAGGGGGCGAGCGUUAUCCGGAUUUACUGGGCGUAAAGGGAGCGCAGACGGAGAAGCAAGUCUGAUGUGAAAGCCCGUGGCUCAACCGCGGGACUGCAUUGGAAACUGUUUAUCUGGAGUACUGGAAGGGCAAGCGGAAUUCCUGGUGUAGUGGUGAAAUGCGUAGAUAUCAGGAGGAACACCGGUGGCGAAGACGGCUUGCUGGACAGUAACUGACGUUGAGGCUCGAAAGCGUGGGGAGCAAACAGGAUUAGAUACCCUGGUAGUCCACGCUGUAAACGAUGAAUACUAGGUGUUGGGAGGCAAAGCCUUUCAGUGCCGUCGCAAACGCAAUAAGUAUUCCACCUGGGGAGUACGUUCGCAAGAAUGAAACUCAAAGGAAUGGACGGGG
rnacentral:rRNA from 1 species